rnacentral:lncRNA from 1 species
GAGGAAUUUCCAUUCAUUGAAUGUUCAGAUCAUCUGCAAUGCCUGUAUGCCGCCUCAAUGCCUGUAUGCCGCCUCACUGUAUGCUCCAAGUGGCCAGGGUCUACACACGACUCAUUCAUUCUGCGCCACAGCAGAGUAGGCCUGCAUCUAGAAGCUGGUGAGAGUGGAGGUGACUGGGACUAUCCACUGAAAACGUGGCUUCUGACUCCCUUUGCCGAUCCCCGAACAGCAGAGGAAAUGCACUACAAUUUGGCGCAUGGCAGAACAAGGUCAGUUGUGGAGUGCACCAUCGGACUGCUGAAUGGCAGGUGGCCUUGAUGCAUCAGGUGGAAAACUCCUCUACAAGCCAGAGAAGGUGACACGCAUAAUACUGGCAUGUGGUGUGGUCCACAACAUAGCCCUCAGGCAUGGUAUUGCAAUGGAUGCGGGAAUUAGAAUGAACCCCCAAGAGCCUCCUAACCCACCACCCAAUGGAGCACCUGCUCCGGCUGAUGCAGUGAGGAGGUUGCAGCUCAUACAGAGAUUGGUGGACUGAGGUUGUCAACACGCAAACUGUAGACGUGGAUGCAGACGUGGAUGGACCCUCAACACCUGUGGCCAAACCUUCUCCGUCAC